rnacentral:rRNA from 1 species
UACGGGGGGGGCAAGCGUUGUUCGGAAUUAUUGGGCGUAAAGGGCUCGUAGGCGGUUUGUCACGUCGGGAGUGAAAACUCAGGGCUCAACCCUGAGCGUGCUUCCGAUACGGGCAGACUAGAGGUAUGCAGGGGAGAACGGAAUUCCUGGUGUAGCGGUGGAAUGCGCAGAUAUCAGGAGGAACACCGGUGGCGAAGGCGGUUCUCUGGGCAUUACCUGACGCUGAGGAGCGAAAGCAUGGGGAGCGAACAGG